UUCUUGUUUGUUACUUGGUCUGAUUUUGUUUGCUACUUUGCCUUUGCUCUUUUUUUUGUCUGCCAUUUGUUUUUGUAUUCAGCUUUUUAAUAAAGCUCGCCCUUUGUUUGUUCCCUUAUCUUUGCCUCCUGAGUUCACUGCGUUGGGUCCACCAUUCCCUUCCAUAGUUUUCCCUUUAUACCCCAACUUGACAAUAUCUUCAGUUGCAGAGCAGUUAAAUCGUGAACUUGCUUCUGUAAUAUAUUCAUUGUGCCAGAUGAAAGAGGCACACUCCAAACAAACUGUGAGGGUGAUGAUUGAUCUGCAUAAUGACAAGAUCAACAGGGGUUUUAAGUCAGAAAUGGAGGUGUUGUGCAGUACACAGUUGUGUAUUGGCCUGCAUGAGAUGCUGGGACUCCAGUCUGCUGGAGAAGGUCUUCAGUCUUCCCCUGUAGGUUCCCAACCUGGAAAGCUUUGUGCAAUCCUCAUUUGUAGCACAAUCAUAUGCUAUUGGGGAUAAAGACAAGGCAAAAUUGAAGGAACUCUUCACUGGGUCUGGAUGAAAAUCAACCCCUGGCUAAUUGCCUAAGAAGAUUCCCUUUGUCGAUAAAGGACCUUCAAAGUGUUUGCCCACCAGAGUUCUUGGGACAAUCUUCACUGAGUAUGCCAUGGCUGACUGACAAUGUAAGAGAAGAUAAAUAAUACUGGUGAAAUUAAAUGAAAUGUUAUGACAUUUACAGCGGCGUUUGUAUUUCUUAUUUCUUUAUUACAAAUUCAGAUGUGUAUUAUAACAAGUAUAGUGAAUUCCAGGCUGUAAACUAUCGAGCAGCACAGCUGGCUCAAGAACACAUGGUAAUAGAGUUUAAUUUCCUCCUUCCCUGUAUGAUUUUUAAUGUCUGAGCAAGGUUCACUAAAAUACAUACAAUGUAUUCUGUUUUAGUGUGGUUCUUUGGGUCAGUAUGACUACAUUUUGUGGCACCACAAAUGGCAAAACAGUGAAGCUGUCAGUGAUGUCCUUGUGAAGCGCAUUCCUGUAGGCCCUUUUUUGUUUUUUAUUUGCAUAAUACAAGAAAUAUUGUACAAAUUAACAAAACACAUCUGACAUUAACAUGGAAUGUGUUGUCCCACCUGAUGUUAUUGUCAUGCUAUAGGUUGCAGACAAGGAGAACAGUGGGUCAUUCAAAUCCAGAGACAGGGAAUCGCUUCAUUCUUUGGAAAUGUCUUCAGCCUGGUGGCCUCCAAGGUUGGAGUGUCAAAUAUCCUUCACAGUGGAAGCAGCAGGACUCAGUAAACUGUGGGGUUUUCGUGUGUUCUGUGAGUAGCCAAUUCUGUGAGCUUCUUUUCUCUCUGUACAGUGCAUGUGUGGUCUGUGGGUUCAUGAAUGUCAUUUGUUUUGUUACCAAAUAGGCAGCUGAAAAUAAAGUUACUAAUCUGGAGGUUACUGUGGAGGCCCUAAUCCUGAACCAGUGUAGGACUCUGCAUCUGCACCAUGCCACCCAGAUGAUCAAAAACCUGAAUGCUGAGGUUAGACUAAGUGAUGUCUCAAUAUAACAAAAUCUAUACUGGUAAUAACAGAAAUGGUUACAGCAAAUGUCUUUGUUAUACAAGACUUCCCACCGACAAAGGAAGACCUGUUAAAGGUGGAAGAAAAGGAAGCAAAGCUGCAGGAAGCAGAUGCAAAAGAGAAAAGCUCCAGCAGCCAUUGCCUGGCCUGGAAAAUAAAAUAAUGCCUGUUCCAGCGGGCAACUGGUACAACCAGGUGUGUGAAAAAAACAUGACAACUCAUCUGUAGUUUAUUUGUAGGAAUUUACACAUAGCACAGUUGACAAGGUUAUUUAUUGUUGAAGUCCCUGUAAAGCAAUUUCAGCCAUUUUCUUCUAAACACAUUAAAAAGGUCGUAAAUGUAUUUCUUUAAAACAUGUAAAAAGCGUUCAGCCAUUUAGAAUUUAAUUUUGGAGCUAGGCUCACAAACUGUGUUUCAGGAUUUCUGUGUUCAGGAUUUAAUGGGCGGGUCAGAAAAUCAUGCAAAUCAUGGCCACGUUACAUAACACAUCCAUGAUUUGCAUAAAUCCGACGCUGCUGCGCAAGCCCUAUAAAUACACUCAGCGCAUUAGAUUAGGCGGCUUUUCUGCUGGCUGUCGAGUCUUGGAUAGCAUCUCUUAGAAUAGUUUGCAACUAGCUAACCAGUCAACUAUCUCCUCCACAUCGCUCCGGCAUCUUUCCUGGAUGUCACAGUGUGCAGAGUAACAACACCGUAAGCUUAUUUAAGUUUCCCUAAGGAUGACAACGUAAGGAAACAGUGGAUCUAUUUUGUCAAAAGGAGCUACUGUGGAGAGUUAAAAACCACCACCAACACCGGUCUCUGCAGUGUCCACUUAGUUAUAUAUAGUUAACUACAGCGACUGUCACCAGGUAAAGUCUGGAUAUCUGAAGAGUCUGUUGACGCUGGUCAGUGGGGCCGAACCGACCCUCUCCGUCUCGGCUUGCAUCCUCCCGUCCCGCCAGUAGCGCAUGCUCUCAUCUACACCGCCGGCAUUAUGUGCCCGCCUGCGACCGUCCCGCCGACAACAGGUGCUCUCAUCCCCGCCACCGGCCAGACUUUAGAUUCUCUGCGCUGACCCGAACCGUACCGCGGGCCGGCACUUGAUCAAGCAUGUGUGUGUGUGUGUGUGUGUGUGUGUGUGUGUGUGUGUUUUCUAACAACUUAAAAUAAUGACGGUACUUCCUGCUACAAAAGGCGCAUCUCGCUCCUCCCUCCAAGUAAUUUGUGCGGCUGCGUGGUUUUACACGUGAGUGUCCUCGUGCAGAAAACGUGACUUCUCGCGCACGUGACGUCACUCCCCGAGAUGCAAGAAGAAAAGCUAAAAUAAAUAUUUUUACUGAGGAAAAUGACAAAAAUAAGAGUAACGCACAGUGAUUUGAAUAAGUAAUUUUAAUCUGAUUAGUGGUUUGGAAAUAUUACCGCCUUAGAUCACUCCUCACUGACAAAAGUGGUCAGAUUAGAGUAACGCGUUACCGGCAUCACUGAUUGUGUAGUGUAAGUGCAACGUGGAGCUUGAGAACUACCGUUAUAACAGCCUAUGUAUUUAAAAAUGUCGGGUUUAAAUCGGGCUCAGGCUCAUAAUUACAGUUAAUGUGUCGGGCUGGCCGGCUGGGACACAACGUGCAGGGGCUGGGCUCGGCUGGGGUCGGGCUUGAUUUUUUUGGGCCAGAUCUAAGCUCUAAUUGCAAGUGUGUGUGUAUGUAUGUUAUAAAUGUUGUACAUUUUGGCAAUUAAAUGCAUUUUGCUGAAGGUGCAAAUUCUAAAAGUGAUUUUACACCAUGCAUUCUGUCAUGCCCAUGUAAUGUUAGCAAAUGUCUUUGCAUUUAAUCAUGACAUGAUUUGGCCUCAUGAAUAGCAGAAGUAUAAGGCUGAGAACAGUGACAUAGAAUUUGUCUUCAAAAUAAGAGCUUUACAUUGCACCCCAUUUAGAACUGGGUUCUUAGCGGGGGCUUUUAAUUUGAAAGUAGCGACCGUCCUUAGC